UGACCCAGUGAAAAAGUCUUGGAUGUUAAACCCUGAGAGCUUUCUUUGUUUGUGUGUUUUUGGUCUUGCAGCAGACUAUAAACUCUGUGGACACAGAGACUGUGCUUGUCUUGUGCACCAUGCGGCUGGUGCAGAAAAGGAAUGCAGGGAACCUUUGCUGAGUAGAAAGGGCUGCCGAGAACUCUGCACCAAAGGCUGUGUGCGCCCGAAGAGCGGCUUCCUGACCUGGGAGCUCAGCUGUCGCUGUCCGCCUCAGACCUGUCUCUUCUUGUCGCAGCCGCAUUCACCACCCAGACCUGGGGCUCUGGUCACACACCUUGGGAAGCAUCUACUCCGCCACUCAGCCCCUUGGCUAUUCACUUAAAGACAAAGAAAAAAGGUUUAUUGAGGAGCAACUGACACACAACAAACCCGCACAGAUUUCUAGUAUGCCCUUUGACAAGUUUUGUCCUGUGGAAACCAACACCCAAUCAAGGUAUCCAGCAAAGGUGUCCACCCUCCCGCAAGGUUUCUCAAGUCCUGCAUAAUCCCUGCCCCUCCCCAGCCCAUUUCCAAGCAACCGCUGGUCUGCUUUCUGUCUCUGUAGAUUAGUUUGCAUUUUCUAGAGUUUUGUAUAAAUGAAAGCAUACAGUGUACAGUCUUUCUUGGUCUGGCUUAUUUCAUCCAGCUGUCAGUCUUCAGACACUGUUCCAAGGGAAGCGAGCUGAGCUCGGAGAGCCCUGCCCGGAGUCGUGCUGCUGGCUGUGCACAGACUGGGUGCCACACAUCUUGUCAGGCUGUAGAAUUUUUCUUCGAGGGUGCCAAGACUACUUUCUGGUUAAUGGAUCUUUCUUAAACCCAAACAAGAAUGAGUUGCACUCUUAAUUUUUUGCCAAAACAUAUAAACUUGAACAUCAACCCUCUUUUACUUCCUCCCACUAAAUUCAGUUAAGGAAAAUGAAGCACAGAGAGGAAUCCUGAAAAAUACACCGUCCAUUGCUCCAGCUCUGGGGUGUUUCGAUUUCAGACACUCACAGCACCGUGAAUUUUGACCAGACUAUUUCAGACCUUGAUAGAAUCUCUUACAAUGAAUUAUGCCUUGGCAUUGCAUUCCCAUCUCAGGGAGACUUAAUCAGAACCGGACAUAGUGCUGAUGAAUUUAUGGCUGAAAUAGCACAUCCGGAGUUUGUUUUAAAAGAUACCCAGAGAAAAUGUUCGAGGGGCAGAUUAAGUGAGUACGGCCACUCUCUGGCUGACCUUAAAACGUUGCGACAGCAGUGUUCAUUAUAUUCGUCUCAUGGCUUUUGUGUAUGUUUGAAAAUUACUAUCACAAGCAGUUCUUUCAAACACAAGUGAGAAACUCCCCUAUUGUCUUUAUUAUAGGGAUAUUGCUUAAGACAUUGUUUAUUCAUCAUUUUCAAACAAGUAUGCUUUAGGUGUAAUUUUAAGGCUUAAGCAAAAUAAUAAUUUACCUCAGUCCCACUUGGUUCAGAGUAAGCGCUCGAUAUGCAAUGAUUAUUUAUUAUAUUAUGAUUUCAUCAGAAUUGAAUUGUGGGUAUCAGCAGCCAGACCACCUCAAGCUUGGACGUUUCCUUUGAUGUUGGACAAAGAGCAAAGUGAAAAUGUCUUUCUUCUGAGAAGUUCCUUGUAGGUGGUUUUCUGGGAACCGGGUGGACUUAGGAGGUUAAUUGAGCAUGAAAUAUUAAAUGAAUAAUACACCGUGACCAAGAGUACAAAGAUAGCGUAAUAUUUUCAAAUAUAUCAUGUAUACAGGCCAAAGGAAAUAAAAUAUAUGGAAAUUUGAUAAAAAUUGGACAGUCAGUCCUGUAUGUAUAUAUUUUUAAUAGAAUUCUUAGAACCUGGGAGUAAAAGGGUACUUUCUUAUGCUAAAGGAUAUUUAUUUUAUUUUAUUUUAUUUUUUGGUACCAGGGAUUGAACUCAGGUCCUUGCGCUUGUGCAGCAGGUGGGGAAACCACUGAGCUAAAUCCCAGGCCCCUUUAUUUUAUUUUUUAAAGGAUAUUUAUUUCAAAUAAACAACUAAAAUAAUAUUUCCUGAAGUUUUCCUAGUAUAUCGAGAGUGAGGCAAAUUUCCCACUUAGAAUGACCAUCACUGCCCCACUUCCUAACAGUCACAAAACAAGAAAAUAUAAGAUCAAGGAGCCUGAAUAUAUCUAAAUAUGUACUAGAAGGAGGAAGAGAUCAAGUUAUUCUUUGUUUUUUGUUUGGUUGGGUUUUUGUUAGGGUUGUUGUUAGGGUGCUUUUUGAGACAGGGUCUGAUUACGUAGCCCAGUCGCAUUAUGUACUCCCAACCCUCUUGCCUCAGCUUUCCCAGGGUCCUAGGACUGCAGGUGUGUGCUACCAUGCCCAGCUGAGAGCAAUCCAUUUUUAUUGUUCAUUAUCAUCUUCCUAGAAAAUCACAGAAUAUCAACUCAAAAACUUUUAAAUUCAGAAGUGUAUACUUACACACACACAAUGAGCAACAGAUUUUUCCCUUUAUCAGCAACAGCUCACUGGAAAAUAUAAAAAAUAUAAAACAUUUUCAUUCACAAUGUCUAUGUAUAAAAUUCUUGGGAACAUACUUCAGAGAAACAUUC
rnacentral:lncRNA from 1 species